UUGCCUACGGGAGGCAGCAGUGGGGAAUAUUGCACAAUGGGCGAAAGCCUGAUGCAGCAACGCCGCGUGAAGGAAGACGGUUUUCGGAUUGUAAACUUCUGUUCUUAGUGAAGAAUAAUGACGGUAACUAAAGAGCAAGCCACGGCUAACUACGUGCCAGCAGCCGCGGUAAUACGUAGGUGGCAAGCGUCGUCCGGAAUUACUGGGUGUAAGGGGAGCGUAGGCGGGAAGACAAG
rnacentral:rRNA from 1 species